rnacentral:rRNA from 1 species
GGGUCAGUAGGUUGGUCGUGCCACCGGUACGUACUGGUCUCACUGAUUCCUCCUUCCUGAAGAACUGUAAUGCCAUUAAUUUGGUGUUGCGGGGAAACAGGACUGUUACUUUGAAAAAAUUAGAGUGUUUAAAGCAAGCUAACGCUUGUAUACAUUAGCAUGGAAUAAUGAAAUAGGACGAUCGAUCCUAUUUUGUUGGUUUCUAGGAUUGACGUA